rnacentral:tRNA from 6 species
GCGAAAAUAGCUCAGCUGGUAGAGCGCAACCUUGCCAAGGUUGAGGUCGCGGGUUCGAACCCCGUUUUUCGCUC